AAGCAAUCGUGCAUAAUCCAAGCCCAAAAGGCUCAUUUAGGAAACAACAGCAUGAAACUAAGAUCAGUGGAAAGCCAUAUUUAACGGGAAAGAUGAAACAGAUGUCUGGAGGAGAUCCCAUGUUUUCACAGGAGAAAUGCUGAUGUCACUACCAAUGCAAAGAAUUAGAAGACGACUGAAAGAUCAGAUUGUUUACAGAUUUCUACAAGCAGGAUCAAAAUACACAGGGUACCUAUCUACUUAGUCUAAUCGAGAUUCUACCAGUGCAGAGGAGAUGCCAUGGCUCGUACCAGUCCCCAUCAGAAAGUCGACGCCAGUCGACUGUGAGUUUUUUCAUUCCUAAUGGCAAAGGAGACCAUAUCAGAGUAUGUAAAAAGACAUUCAUGAACGUUUUUGGGACUUCAGUCUUCAAAAAGGGUUGAACUUCUAGUGAGAAGAAAGAAGAUGGGUGCAACAGUCUAUAAAGACAAUAGGAGAGAGAGCUAAGAAAUUUCAAAUUCACUGUAGCGGAUAGGAAUAAUGUGAAGAAUCACAUCAGCUCCAUACCUACCGAACCAAGUCACUACAACUUUUCAAGUUACAUAUUUUGUAAUUUUGAAUUUCUGACUGAUGAAUGUCUCCUCUCUGGAGGAUUAUCUUAUAGACGUUGAAUAUAUAAUUGGAUGCAUUGCAA